rnacentral:tRNA from 1 species
GAGGGUGUAGCUCAGUGGUAGAGCGUGUGCUUAGCAUGCUUAAGGUCCUGCAUUCAAUCCCCAGUACCUCCA